rnacentral:rRNA from 1 species
UUAAGCGACUAAGCGUACACGGUGGAUGCCCUGGCAGUCAGAGGCGAUGAAGGGCGUGCUAAUCUGCGAUAAGCGCCGGUAAGGUGAUAUGAACCGUUAUAACCGGCGAUACCCGAAUGGGGAAACCCAGUGUGAUUCGUCACACUAUCAUUAACUGAAUCCAUAGGUUAAUGAGGCGAACCGGGGGAACUGAAACAUCUAAGUACCCUGAGGAAAAGAAAUCAACCGAGAUUCCCCCAGUAGCGGCGAGCGAACGGGGAGGAGCCCAGAGCCUGAAUCAGCAUGUGUGUUAGUGGAAGCGUCUGGAAAGGCGCGCGAUACAGGGUGACAGCCCCGUACACAAAAGCGCAUGUGCUGUGAGCUCGAUGAGUAGGGCGGGACACGUGGUAUCCUGUCUGAAUAUGGGGGGACCAUCCUCCAAGGCUAAAUACUCCUGACUGACCGAUAGUGAACCAGUACCGUGAGGGAAAGGCGAAAAGAACCCCGGCGAGGGGAGUGAAAAAGAACCUGAAACCGUGUACGUACAAGCAGUGGGAGCACCCUUCGGGGUGUGACUGCGUACCUUUUGUAUAAUGGGUCAGCGACUUAUAUUCUGUAGCAAGGUUAACCGUAUAGGGGAGCCGGAGGGAAACCGAGUCUUAACCGGGCGUUAAGUUGCAGGGUAUAGACCCGAAACCCGGUGAUCUAGCCAUGGGCAGGUUGAAGGUUGGGUAACACUAACUGGAGGACCGAACCGACUAAUGUUGAAAAAUUAGCGGAUGACCUGUGGCUGGGGGUGAAAGGCCAAUCAAACCGGGAGAUAGCUGGUUCUCCCCGAAAGCUAUUUAGGUAGCGCCUCGUGAAUUCAUCUCCGGGGGUAGAGCACUGUUUCGGCUAGGGGGCCAUCCCGGCUUACCAACCCGAUGCAAACUGCGAAUACCGGAGAAUGUUAUCACGGGAGACACACGGCGGGUGCUAACGUCCGUCGUGAAGAGGGAAACAACCCAGACCGCCAGCUAAGGUCCCAAAGUCAUGGUUAAGUGGGAAACGAUGUGGGAAGGCCCAGACAGCCAGGAUGUUGGCUUAGAAGCAGCCAUCAUUUAAAGAAAGCGUAAUAGCUCACUGGUCGAGUCGGCCUGCGCGGAAGAUGUAACGGGGCUAAACCAUGCACCGAAGCUGCGGCAGCGAACGUAUCACCCAAGACAACUUUACGGAGUUGACGAUUGACGGAGCGAAGCGACGUCAAAGCGUUCAUUAAAGUCGAGUUGGCUUAGGGAUACGUUCGUUGGGUAGGGGAGCGUUCUGUAAGCCUGUGAAGGUGUGUCGUGAGGCAUGCUGGAGGUAUCAGAAGUGCGAAUGCUGACAUAAGUAACGAUAAAGCGGGUGAAAAGCCCGCUCGCCGGAAGACCAAGGGUUCCUGUCCAACGUUAAUCGGGGCAGGGUGAGUCGACCCCUAAGGCGAGGCCGAAAGGCGUAGUCGAUGGGAAACGGGUUAAUAUUCCCGUACUUGGUGUUACUGCGAAGGGGGGACGGAGAAGGCUAUGUUGGCCGGGCGACGGUUGUCCCGGUUUAAGCGUGUAGGUGUGUGUUCCAGGUAAAUCCGGUUCACUUUAACACUGAGGCGUGACGACGAGGCACUACGGUGCUGAAGCAACAAAUGCCCUGCUUCCAGGAAAAGCCUCUAAGCAUCAGGUAACAUCAAAUCGUACCCCAAACCGACACAGGUGGUCAGGUAGAGAAUACCAAGGCGCUUGAGAGAACUCGGGUGAAGGAACUAGGCAAAAUGGUGCCGUAACUUCGGGAGAAGGCACGCUGACACGUAGGUGAAGUGAUUUACUCAUGGAGCUGAAGUCAGUCGAAGAUACCAGCUGGCUGCAACUGUUUAUUAAAAACACAGCACUGUGCAAACACGAAAGUGGACGUAUACGGUGUGACGCCUGCCCGGUGCCGGAAGGUUAAUUGAUGGGGUCAGCGCAAGCGAAGCUCCUGAUCGAAGCCCCGGUAAACGGCGGCCGUAACUAUAACGGUCCUAAGGUAGCGAAAUUCCUUGUCGGGUAAGUUCCGACCUGCACGAAUGGCGUAAUGAUGGCCAGGCUGUCUCCACCCGAGACUCAGUGAAAUUGAACUCGCUGUGAAGAUGCAGUGUACCCGCGGCAAGACGGAAAGACCCCGUGAACCUUUACUAUAGCUUGACACUGAACAUUGAGCCUUGAUGUGUAGGAUAGGUGGGAGGCUUUGAAGUGUGGACGCCAGUCUGCAUGGAGCCGACCUUGAAAUACCACCCUUUAAUGUUUGAUGUUCUAACGUGGACCCGUUACCCGGGUUGCGGACAGUGUCUGGUGGGUAGUUUGACUGGGGCGGUCUCCUCCUAAAGAGUAACGGAGGAGCACGAAGGUUGGCUAAUCCUGGUCGGACAUCAGGAGGUUAGUGCAAUGGCAUAAGCCAGCUUGACUGCGAGCGUGACGGCGCGAGCAGGUGCGAAAGCAGGUCAUAGUGAUCCGGUGGUUCUGAAUGGAAGGGCCAUCGCUCAACGGAUAAAAGGUACUCCGGGGAUAACAGGCUGAUACCGCCCAAGAGUUCAUAUCGACGGCGGUGUUUGGCACCUCGAUGUCGGCUCAUCACAUCCUGGGGCUGAAGUAGGUCCCAAGGGUAUGGCUGUUCGCCAUUUAAAGUGGUACGCGAGCUGGGUUUAGAACGUCGUGAGACAGUUCGGUCCCUAUCUGCCGUGGGCGCUGGAGAACUGAGGGGGGCUGCUCCUAGUACGAGAGGACCGGAGUGGACGCAUCACUGGUGUUCGGGUUGUCAUGCCAAUGGCACUGCCCGGUAGCUAAAUGCGGAAGAGAUAAGUGCUGAAAGCAUCUAAGCACGAAACUUGCCCCGAGAUGAGUUCUCCCUGAGACUUAGAGUCUCCUGAAGGAACGUUGAAGACGACGACGUUGAUAGGCCGGGUGUGUAAGCGCAGCGAUGCGUUGAGCUAACCGGUACUAAUGAACCGUGAGGCUUAACCUU